rnacentral:lncRNA from 1 species
CUGUGGUGCAUCCUCGAGUAUUAUAGCCUUGGUUUCAUAACAAAGCUUUGGGCAGUAAUACUGGCUCAAGUUCACAGACAGGAAAUUGAGAUGCACAGAGGUGAGGUGACUUGGUCAGUCCCACAAAUCAGCAGCAGAGCUGGGAACAGAACUGAGAUCUUUUGACAUUCAGCCCUCUGCUCUGUGGAAGAGAGGGUGUAUUACCCGACUUGAAACAUGCAGUCUGAUCAACUGGUACCUAGCUUGAAGAGUGUUCUGAAUAUGAAUGGACAUCAAAAGUGGGACUUUGAAGGGAGGGAUUCUAAUUUUAUCUUCAACACAAUUUGGUUGGUUUGUUUGUGUUUUUUUCUCAUCAUGCUAAACAUAACUGUAAGGCCAGUCCAGUACUGAGAGUCUUUUGGCUGUGCUUUUUGUUAUCUGGCAUUAUAACAAUUAACUGUUGCUACUAGUUUACUGUGAAUAUAUUUUGUUGCUUAUUGCUUUUUCAACAGCCUGCAGUUCCCGAC